rnacentral:rRNA from 1 species
GAUUAAGUUAUUAAGGGCGCACGGUGGAUGCCUUGGCACUAGAAGCCGAUGAAGGACGUUACUAACGACGAUAUGCUUUGGGGAGCUGUAAGUAAGCUUUGAUCCAGAGAUUUCCGAAUGGGGAAACCCAGCAUGAGUUAUGUCAUGUUAUCGAUAUGUGAAUACAUAGCAUAUCAGAAGGCACACCCGGAGAACUGAAACAUCUUAGUACCCGGAGGAAGAGAAAGAAAAUUCGAUUCCCUUAGUAGCGGCGAGCGAAACGGGAAGAGCCCAAACCAACAAGCUUGCUUGUUGGGGUUGUAGGACACUCUAUACGGAGUUACAAAGGACGACAUUAGACGAAUCAUCUGGAAAGAUGAAUCAAAGAAGGUAAUAAUCCUGUAGUCGAAAAUGUUGUCUCUCUUGAGUGGAUCCUGAGUACGACGGAACACGUGAAAUUCCGUCGGAAUCUGGGAGGACCAUCUCCUAAGGCUAAAUACUCUCUAGUGACCGAUAGUGAACCAGUACCGUGAGGGAAAGGUGAAAAGCACCCCGGAAGGGGAGUGAAAUAGAACCUGAAACCGUGUGCUUACAAGUAGUCAGAGCCCGUUAAUGGGUGAUGGCGUGCCUUUUGUAGAAUGAACCGGCGAGUUACGAUUUGAUGCAAGGUUAAGCAGUAAAUGUGGAGCCGUAGCGAAAGCGAGUCUGAAUAGGGCGUUUAGUAUUUGGUCGUAGACCCGAAACCAGGUGAUCUACCCUUGGUCAGGUUGAAGUUCAGGUAACACUGAAUGGAGGACCGAACCGACUUACGUUGAAAAGUGAGCGGAUGAACUGAGGGUAGCGGAGAAAUUCCAAUCGAACCUGGAGAUAGCUGGUUCUCUCCGAAAUAGCUUUAGGGCUAGCCUCAAGUGAUGAUUAUUGGAGGUAGAGCACUGUUUGGACGAGGGGCCCCUCUCGGGUUACCGAAUUCAGACAAACUCCGAAUGCCAAUUAAUUUAACUUGGGAGUCAGAACAUGGGUGAUAAGGUCCGUGUUCGAAAGGGAAACAGCCCAGACCACCAGCUAAGGUCCCAAAAUAUAUGUUAAGUGGAAAAGGAUGUGGCGUUGCCCAGACAACUAGGAUGUUGGCUUAGAAGCAGCCAUCAUUUAAAGAGUGCGUAAUAGCUCACUAGUCGAGUGACACUGCGCCGAAAAUGUACCGGGGCUAAACAUAUUACCGAAGCUGUGGAUUGUCCUUUGGACAAUGGUAGGAGAGCGUUCUAAGGGCGUUGAAGCAUGAUCGUAAGGACAUGUGGAGCGCUUAGAAGUGAGAAUGCCGGUGUGAGUAGCGAAAGACGGGUGAGAAUCCCGUCCACCGAUUGACUAAGGUUUCCAGAGGAAGGCUCGUCCGCUCUGGGUUAGUCGGGUCCUAAGCUGAGGCCGACAGGCGUAGGCGAUGGAUAACAGGUUGAUAUUCCUGUACCACCUAUAAUCGUUUUAAUCGAUGGGGGGGACGCAGUAGGAUAGGCGAAGCGUGCGAUUGGAUUGCACGUCUAAGCAGUAAGGCUGAGUAUUAGGCAAAUCCGGUACUCGUUAAGGCUGAGCUGUGAUGGGGAGAAGACAUUGUGUCUUCGAGUCGUUGAUUUCACACUGCCGAGAAAAGCCUCUAGAUAGAAAAUAGGUGCCCGUACCGCAAACCGACACAGGUAGUCAAGAUGAGAAUUCUAAGGUGAGCGAGCGAACUCUCGUUAAGGAACUCGGCAAAAUGACCCCGUAACUUCGGGAGAAGGGGUGCUCUUUAGGGUUAACGCCCAGAAGAGCCGCAGUGAAUAGGCCCAAGCGACUGUUUAUCAAAAACACAGGUCUCUGCUAAACCGUAAGGUGAUGUAUAGGGGCUGACGCCUGCCCGGUGCUGGAAGGUUAAGAGGAGUGGUUAGCUUCUGCGAAGCUACGAAUCGAAGCCCCAGUAAACGGCGGCCGUAACUAUAACGGUCCUAAGGUAGCGAAAUUCCUUGUCGGGUAAGUUCCGACCCGCACGAAAGGCGUAACGAUUUGGGCACUGUCUCAACGAGAGACUCGGUGAAAUCAUAGUACCUGUGAAGAUGCAGGUUACCCGCGACAGGACGGAAAGACCCCGUGGAGCUUUACUGUAGCCUGAUAUUGAAAUUCGGCACAGCUUGUACAGGAUAGGUAGGAGCCUUUGAAACGUGAGCGCUAGCUUACGUGGAGGCGCUGGUGGGAUACUACCCUAGCUGUGUUGGCUUUCUAACCCGCACCACUUAUCGUGGUGGGAGACAGUGUCAGGCGGGCAGUUUGACUGGGGCGGUCGCCUCCUAAAAGGUAACGGAGGCGCUCAAAGGUUCCCUCAGAAUGGUUGGAAAUCAUUCAUAGAGUGUAAAGGCAUAAGGGAGCUUGACUGCGAGACCUACAAGUCGAGCAGGGUCGAAAGACGGACUUAGUGAUCCGGUGGUUCCGCAUGGAAGGGCCAUCGCUCAACGGAUAAAAGCUACCCCGGGGAUAACAGGCUUAUCUCCCCCAAGAGUUCACAUCGACGGGGAGGUUUGGCACCUCGAUGUCGGCUCAUCGCAUCCUGGGGCUGUAGUCGGUCCCAAGGGUUGGGCUGUUCGCCCAUUAAAGCGGUACGCGAGCUGGGUUCAGAACGUCGUGAGACAGUUCGGUCCCUAUCCGUCGUGGGCGUAGGAAAUUUGAGAGGAGCUGUCCUUAGUACGAGAGGACCGGGAUGGACAUACCUCUGGUGUACCAGUUGUCGUGCCAACGGCAUAGCUGGGUAGCUAUGUGUGGACGGGAUAAGUGCUGAAAGCAUCUAAGCAUGAAGCCCCCCUCAAGAUGAGAUUUCCCAACUUCGGUUAUAAGAUCCCUCAAAGAUGAUGAGGUUAAUAGGUUCGAGGUGGAAGCAUGGUGACAUGUGGAGCUGACGAAUACUAAUCGAUCGAAGACUUAAUCAA